rnacentral:misc_RNA from 1 species
GGUGGGACAUGAGCGACUACAUCGCCGCGAUCUUCGAGGUCCUUUACACGUACGACACGAACCGGACGACGUUCAGAGACAGCAUCUCGGGCAUCGCCGAGCCGAGCUUCGAGAAGCCGCACGCGGUCGGCUUCAACGCGAUCGUCCAGGCGCGUUUUUAGAAGUUACAAACCCAUCUGCUUGGCGAUGAUCUCGUUCAUGAUCUCGCUCGUGCCGCCGCCGAUCGGCCCCAGGCGCGCGUCGCGCCAGUGCCGCUGAAUGUCGUACUCCAUCAUGUAGCCGGCGCCGCCGUGCAGCUGCAGGCUCUGAUCGGCCACGCGGCAGCACAUCUCGGUCGCGACCUUCUUCGCCAUCGCGGUCUGCCCCAGCGCGUACUCGCCCGCCGCGUGCAGCCGCAGCGCGUGGUACGUGAGCUGCCGCGCGCACUCGAGGUCCGUCGCCAUCUCGGCGAGCUUGUGCCGUGUGACCUGGAACUCGGAGAUCGACUUGCCGAACGCCUUGCGGUCUUUCGUGUAGGCGAUCACGUUGUUGAUCAUGUCGUCGGCCGCGCCGAUCGCGCCGAGCGCCAUCGAGAUCCGCUCCCACU